GCGAUCGUAGCUCAGUUGGCAGAGUGGUGGGACGGUACCCCACGGUCCUGGGUUUAAGCCCCGGCGGUCGUA